GAUGAACGCUAGCGGCAGGCCUAACACAUGCAAGUCGAGGGGCAGCACAUAAAGUGGUUUACUACUUUUGGUGGCGACCGGCGGACGGGUGCGUAACGCGUAUGCAACCUGCCUCCAACAGGGGGAUAACGGAGAGAAAUUUCCACUAAUACCCCAUAAUAUCAGAAUCGGCAUCGGUUUUGGUUGAAAACUCCGGUGGUUGGAGUUGGGCAUGCGUUGUAUUAGAUAGUUGGUGAGGUAACGGCUCACCAAGUCAACGAUACAUAGGGGGACUGAGAGGUUAGCCCCCCACACUGGUACUGAGACACGGACCAGACUCCUACGGGAGGCAGCAGUGAGGAAUAUUGGUCAAUGGGGGCAACCCUGAACCAGCCAUGCCGCGUGCAGGAAGACGGCUCUAUGAGUUGUAAACUGCUUUUACAAGGGGAUAAAUCGGUGUACGUGUACACCGUUGAAGGUACCUUGGGAAUAAGGAUCGGCUAACUCCGUGCCAGCAGCCGCAGUAA
rnacentral:rRNA from 1 species